AAACGUAGGUCCCGAGCGUUGUUCGGAUUCACUGGGUGUAAAGGGCGCGUAGGUGGUUGUCUGUGUCUCAUGUGAAAACUCAGGGCUCAACUCUGAGAUUGCGUGGGAAACUAGGCGGCUAGAGGACGGUAGCGGGGAGUGGACUUCCCGGUGUAGCGGUAAAAUGCGUAGAUAUCGGGAGGAACACCGGUGGCGAAGGCGGCUCUCUGGGCCGAUCCUGACGCUGAGGCGCGAAAGCUAGGGGAGCGAACCGGAUUAGAUACCCGGGUAGUCCUAGCCGUAAACGAUGGGUGCUAGGUGUUGGGGGGUAAAGACCCUUCAGUGCCGAAGCCAACGCGAUAAGCAUCCCACCUGGGGAGUACGGCCGCAAGGUUGAAACUCAAAUGAAUUGACGGGG
rnacentral:rRNA from 1 species